GCGGCCUCCCAUGUCGGCGCUGGUGUCGCUUGUCCAACGGGCGGCUGCCAUCACGAGGCCGUAUAAUUCGCAGGACGCGCUCCUACUGAUUAGGGCACUAAGCUCGCUGCGGCUCAGCCGACCGGAGGUGAGGCUUAUAUGCGAGAAGGCCAGCUUCUCGCUGGCCUCUUCGCCAGCGGAGGUGCCCGCAGCGGUUUUAGUAGACGCUGUGAAUCGGCUCUGCACGCUCCAGUCUGCGCACCUUCCCGUCGUGCAGCGCGUUCUGCUGAAACGGUUUUGUGAACUCCAGAGCACGUGCAGCGCACAAAGGCCCUGCUACCCGACACCGACGUCGUCGCUCGCCGUAGAUCCGCGCACUGCUCAAAAGGCGGCGCUUGUGCUUGCCAAGUUGGGCCGUACUGCGGGGCAGGCGGAGGCUACCGAGCACGUGCUUCGGCUUCUCCAUACGCUGCUGGAGCACAGACCUGACGAUGCCGGUCUGCACAUCGCGUACGUCGCUCUUUACGUCAACUCUUCGAGAUACACGACCCAGCUGCGAUGGUGGGCGACGACGGCACCGCUCAAGCGAUCCGUACAGACCCUCCAACGCAGUGUUAAUUUUUUGCUCAAGAACCAGCAGACGCUCAAACGCGCGUCGGGCAAUGUUGCAUGGCAGCUGCUGCACCUGCUGCUUGUGAUACCUCCCUCGACGCAGUCGGCAGUGGCAUCACAGGGGAGCAGUGCACCUCUUCUGCACGGCCAACAACGCGAAGGCUUUGAAAGCUACUUUGCUUCCGGCGCGCUGGCGCAAAAGGUGAGUGCCGGGGCAUACGUGCAGUUCGUGCACUCCUUCGGCACAGACGUGUGCCAGCUAGACCUGCAGCGAACAGUCGCCCUGCUGACGCCACUUGCAAAACCAAAAAAGGAGGCUGCUUUUGCAGCGUCGCAGACGCAAAAGCGGUUGAACGUGUACGACGCAACAAAGCUGGCGAGCGCAUUGGCGGCCAUGUUCUCAGUGCUGGCAACCCACCCGUCGCGUUCGGCCUCCUUUGCCGCUCUGGGAGGCCCUCGUGAGCAGCAUCCUGGCGCCCAAGCUUCUCAGGCAAGCCGCCAAGCCUCUGUGGGUGCACAUGAAGCGUGGCGCCGGGCCGUGCAGCUUUGCUUCACGAUACUGUGCGACUUGGUGGAAUGCGAGCAGGCGCGCCUCCGCAGCACCCACGCCAACGAUGACGCCCUGAUGGACACGGUGGUUUCCCCGGAUCGAUUCCUCGUUGCAGCGCUGCUCGACAGCUACUCACGGGGCUGCGCCGUCUUGCUGGAGUCUGCCGAGGCACCGAGAGGCAUGCGCAGCACCGCCUCGCCGUGGUUCAUGCUUUCAGCCUCCAUUUCUGCGCUUCUCGAAUUCGUGCCGCAGCUGUCCGAGACGUCACCGACCAUGAUAUCGUGGAUGCUGCGAUCUCUUGCUUCACUGAGGCGACGAAGCAGCUGCGCCGACGGCGACCAGCUCGAGCUCAGCGCUGCCUUUCUUCUUCGCCAGUAUCUCUGCGUUCCGCCGAAGAAGCGGUGCUUGCGCUCCGACGUAGAGACGCUGUACGCUUACGCGCGUCUUAUCGGGUUGAAUGGCGACCCUCACGUCAGCAGAAGCUACACCACCACCACCGCAACCGUGACGACGCCGGGGAAGCCGCCAUCUGGCCGGCUUCCACCGCUUUCUGCCCUUGAUCGUAUCGUUUGCGAAAUCGCGUCACGCCUGCGUGCGAGCCCGUUUGCCGCCGAUGACGAGCCGCAGAUGGAGGAUGCGGACAUGCUCCUGGCGACACUCCUUCAUCUUUACAAGAAGACGGUCUCCGACUCAGCGGCAAUGACGGACGCCUCUAAGGGGACGAUGGAACUCCUGCCGCUUCUCGAUGAGUUGCAGAGCACCCUCGCCGCAUACUAUUGUAACAGAAUUGCGGGCACACCAAGUGUGCAGAUGAAAGGUGAUGUGGCGGUGCGCGCCGCGCGUCUGCAUGUGGUGGCGGGCCUUCUGCAUAGUUCACAGUUUUCUUCGUGUCGCUCUGGCGCUGCGUUGGCGAGGGCGGCAGAGCGGACCACCGAGCAAGUGACGAUAACCGGGGCGCCUGUGGCGUCGUCGUCGAUGCUGCGUGUUCUCGCAGUACUGGCCCGCGGCCAACACACUGGGGUGGCGGCCUCAUUGCCCCCCACGCCCUUCGACGUCGCCCUUCUCUCCACUCUGUGCCAUCGGUAUCAGCAAUACAUGAACGAGAUUGUGCGGACGGGCGGGCGGCGCGAGCACGUAUCCGAGGUGGUGCGCGUCUUGUGGCGUGCACGGCAACUCGGUGUGCAACUCGUCUUCGCGGAAGCGGCAAGCCAGGGCGUCCUGCUUGAGGCCAGCGGUGUUCUUGAGGGCGGUAAUGCUAGUCAGCCGCAGCUCUGGUUCCCUGCUAGCCUGUGCUACCUUGAUCACCUCACCUGCUGUGCCGCAGCCGAUCUGUUGCAGCUGAUCGCGGAGUCGCAGCUGAGAAGUUCAGCACUGAUGCAACUUCAGCCUCACAUCGUCCGCCACCUGCGCAUGACACUUUUCGAGCAGUUGACGGUUAUUGCGGAUGUGGAGUGCGUCACCCGACUCCUGCAGUCGAACGCGACGGCAGCGGUCUCGCAGGUGAUCUUGCCGGAAAAGGAAGAUUUGCAUCGUGUGGUGCGCUGUGUAGAUGCGUGUGUGUCCACUCUACUAGACUCCGCGCUGAAGGGGACAAGCGAGGACGCUGCCAAGACAUCCCGACACGGCGACUUUCGAGAGCAGGCGGGUAGAUUUCUUCAUGCUCUCGUCCAGUCGCAGUUGUUUAUCCGCAUUCCCGAGAUCUUCUCGAGUGCGGAGGGUGGCGUGCUGCGGCGGCGGAUGCUGGAACUCGUGCCGUACAUGGAGAGCAGUGCGCGCGAAGCAGACGCGAUCGCGGUGCUCAAGAUGAAACUCUUUUGCGGCGCCGUUCUGUGAAGUAGAAGCCACGGCGAACCUCGAAAGCAGGCGUAUUUGUGUGUGUCUUGGACGCGUGCUUUCCUCCACCGGCGACGAGACGCGCUCUUCUUUCGACAAAGAUCGAAUGGAACGACUUGGGUAGCGUGCUGGCACGUGCUAGCUCCUUGUCUUGGAGAGGUGGAUACGCGACGGCCGGGUAGCGGCGGUUUAGACCGCCAAGAAUGUCGCCAGUGGUGUGCGCCCGAUGCGUGCAUCUUUUACGUGAAUCUCUGAUAAAUCGAGAGAACUCUUCUGUCGCCGCGCAGGCGCGGAUAGGGUACACAUCCACAAGUGGUA
rnacentral:misc_RNA from 1 species